AACUUGCUGAACUGGCAUUUGUCUAUUCAGUCAAUGAUGCGUGUUAUUUCAAAUAAAGAAAAAAUAGUGUAGUAUAGAAUUAUUUACUUUAUUCUGAAGCAUUAGCCAGUUCAUGCAGAAAAUAUUGUUUUAUUCAUUUAAAUUAUUUAAAGAUUAAUUCAAUCAUUUAAAUAAACCAUUAUAAGUUCAGAAUUAAUACUAGAUAUACGAUCGAAUUCAUAAAAUUUGACAACUAUCAAAUUACACGACAUUAAUUUAAAAAAUAGAAUAAAAAAUUUAAUAUACAAGACUGCGGCAAAAGUUAAUUUAUCCAAGGAGUCAUUUGAAUUGCAGAAUUACAUCCAGUAUUUGUAGAAGAUGCACAAAAUUUAGCUGCUGCUGUACAUGAAGAAGCUCAUAACAAUGAUACUGCUGGUACUAAUUCCUCCACGUUGAAUACACCAUCUACUACAUACUCUUACAGUUUAGAUAAUUUGAGCGAUUUUAUUUGCAUUGAAAUAUAUUGCGAUAUAUUGAAUCUAAAUCUAAAUUAUAUAACGCAAGUACUAUCGGGUGAAUGGCUCCAUAUUUCAAUGCAUUUCCAAAAUCUUUUGGAUCUAAUUCUUAAUAAACAUUGAUGUACUUAUGUUUUACAUUAAUCAUACUUCACACAUUUAUCAUACUUCAAUAAAUAAAUAAAUUAAAUAUA